CACCACAGCCGUAUCAUCCUGCAGCCCAAGAUCGGUUACUAGCUAAGCAGGGCUGAGCCUGGUCAGUACCUAGAUGGGAGACCACAUGGGAAACUAGGUUGCUGUUGGAA
rnacentral:rRNA from 1 species